UUGAUUAUGGCUCAGGAUGAACGCUAGCUACAGGCUUAACACAUGCAAGUCGAGGGGAAACGACAUCGAAAGCUUGCUUUUGAUGGGCGUCGACCGGCGCACGGGUGAGUAACGCGUAUCCAACCUGCCCACCACUUGGGGAUAACCUUGCGAAAGUAAGACUAAUACCCAAUGACGUCUCUAGAAGACAUCUGAAAGAGAUUAAAGAUUUAUCGGUGAUGGAUGGGGAUGCGUCUGAUUAGCUUGUUGGCGGGGUAACGGCCCACCAAGGCAACGAUCAGUAGGGGUUCUGAGAGGAAGGUCCCCCACAUUGGAACUGAGACACGGUCCAAACUCCUACGGGAGGCAGCAGUGAGGAAUAUUGGUCAAUGGACGAGAGUCUGAACCAGCCAAGUAGCGUGCAGGAUGACGGCCCUAUGGGUUGUAAACUGCUUUUAUAAGGGAAUAAAGUGAGUCUCGUGAGACUUUUUGCAUGUACCUUAUGAAUAAGGACCGGCUAAUUCCGUGCCAGCAGCCGCGGUAAUACGGAAGGUCCGGGCGUUAUCCGGAUUUAUUGGGUUUAAAGGGAGCGUAGGCCGGAGAUUAAGCGUGUUGUGAAAUGUAGACGCUCAACGUCUGCACUGCAGCGCGAACUGGUUUCCUUGAGUACGCACAAAGUGGGCGGAAUUCGUGGUGUAGCGGUGAAAUGCUUAGAUAUCACGAAGAACUCCGAUUGCGAAGGCAGCUCACUGGAGCGCAACUGACGCUGAAGCUCGAAAGUGCGGGUAUCGAACAGGAUUAGAUACCCUGGUAGUCCGCGCGGUAAACGAUGGAUGCCCGCUGUUGGUCUGAAUAGGUCAGCGGCCAAGCGAAAGCAUUAAGCAUCCCACCUGGGGAGUACGCCGGCAACGGUGCAACUCAAAGGAAUUGACGG
rnacentral:rRNA from 1 species